rnacentral:rRNA from 13 species
CCUGGUACCGACCUAACCCGUAGGAAAGGUGGACCGGUCGCCCAAGGAUGUUUUCAUUGAUCAAGAACGAAAGUUAGGGGAUCGAAGACGAUCAGAUACCGUCCUAGUCUUAACCAUAAACUAUGCCGACUAGGGAUUGGGAGUCG